rnacentral:rRNA from 1 species
AGAGUUUGAUCAUGGCUCAGAUUGAACGCUGGCGGAAUGCUUUACACAUGCAAGUCGAGCGGCAGCGCGGGGCAACCUGGCGGCGAGCGGCGAACGGGUGAGUAAUGCAUCGGAACAUGUCCAUGUCGUGGGGGAUAGCCCGGCGAAAGCCGGAUUAAUACCGCAUACGCCCGAGAGGGGAAAGCGGGGGACCGCAAGGCCUCGCGCGAUUGGAUUGGCCGAUGUCCGAUUAGCUUGUUGGUGGGGUAAAGGCUUACCAAGGCGAUGAUCGGUAGCUGGUCUGAGAGGAUGAUCAGCCACACUGGGACUGAGACACGGCCCAGACUCCUACGGGAGGCAGCAGUGGGGAAUUUUGGACAAUGGGGGAAACCCUGAUCCAGCCAUUCCGCGUGAGUGAAGAAGGCCUUCGGGUUGUAAAGCUCUUUUGUCCGGAGCGAAACGGGCGCGGUGAAUAUCCGCGUCUACUGACGGUACCGGAAGAAUAAGCACCGGCUAACUACGUGCCAGCAGCCGCGGUAAUACGUAGGGUGCGAGCGUUAAUCGGAAUUACUGGGCGUAAAGCGUGCGCAGGCGGUUUUGUAAGCCAGAUGUGAAAUCCCCGGGCUUAACCUGGGAAUGGCAUUUGGGACUGCAAGGCUGGAGUAUGGCAGAGGGGACUAGAAUUCCUGGUGUAGCAGUGAAAUGCGUAGAUAUCAGGAGGAAUACCGAUGGCGAAGGC